rnacentral:rRNA from 1 species
UCCCUUUUGGUUAGCGGCGGACGGGUGAGUAACACGUGGGUAACCUGCCUGUAAGACUGGGAUAACUCCGGGAAACCGGGGCUAAUACAGGAUAAGUUGUUCCUCUGCAUGGAGGAACAUUGAAAGAUGGCUUCGGCUAUCACUUACAGAUGGACCCGCGGCGCAUUAGCUAGUUGGUGAGGUAACGGCUCACCAAGGCGACGAUGCGUAGCCGACCUGAGAGGGUGAUCGGCCACACUGGGACUGAGACACGGUCCAGACUCCUACGGGAGGUCGCAGUAGGGAAUCUUCCGCAAUGGACGAAAGUCUGACGGAGCAA